GGGCCUGUAGCGCAGCCUGGUAGCGCAUCUCGUUCGCAACGAGGGGGUCAGGGGUUCAAAUCCCCUCAGGUCCACAA
rnacentral:tRNA from 1 species